UCUAAUAUGGCAGAUUAGUGCAAUGGAUUUAAAUCCCAUAUAUAAAGUUUGAACUUUUUUUAGAA
rnacentral:tRNA from 1 species